GAUGAACGCUGGCAGAAUGCUUAACACAUGCAAGUCUUUGGCGAAGCUGUUCUUUCACUGCCUAGCCAGGGCGGACGGGGGAGUAACGCGUAAGGAACUUGCCCUGCAGUCAGUGAUAACAGACGGAAACGACUGAUAAGACCUGGUAAAGUCAGGCGGACUCAUGUCGAGCCUGAUGGAAAGAGAUGCUGCAGGAGAGCCUUGCGUCCUAUUAGCUUGUUGGUGGGGUAACGGCCCACCAAGGCGAUGAUAGGUAGCCGGCCUGAGAGGGUGGACGGCCAUAAGGGGACUGAGAUACGGCCUUUACUCAUACGGGAGGCAGCAGGGGAGAAUAUUGGACAAUGGGGGCAACCCUGAUCCAGCAAUUCUGUGUGCAAGAUGAAGGUUUUCGGAUUGUAAAGUGCUUUCAGCAGGGAAGAAAAAAAUGACGGUACCUGCAGAAGAAGCGACGGCUAAAUACGUG
rnacentral:rRNA from 1 species